rnacentral:rRNA from 1 species
ACCGGCAGCAGUGAGGAAUAUUGGUCAAUGGGCGCGAGCCUGAACCAGCCAAGUCGCGUGAGGGAUGACGGCCCUACGGGUUGUAAACCUCUUUUGUCGGGGAGCAAAUUCCGUUACGUGUAACGGAGUCGAGAGUACCCGAAGAAAAAGCAUCGGCUAACUCCGUGCCAGCAGCCGCGGUAAUACGGAGGAUGCGAGCGUUAUCCGGAUUUAUUGGGUUUAAAGGGUGCGUAGGCGGACUGUCAAGUCAGCGGUAAAAUACGGGGGCUCAAGCUCCGCCCGCCGUUGAAACUGACGGACUUGAG